rnacentral:rRNA from 1 species
AGCUCCAAUAGCGUAUAUUAAAGUUGCUGCAGUUAAAAAGCUCGUAGUUGGAUCUCGGCAGCCAGGGGGCGGUUCGCUCCAAAGCGUGACUGCCCCAUUUGGCUGUGUGAUUGGCGGAGGUUCCGGGGUGCUCUUCGUUGAGUGUCCCGGUGCGCCGUCAGGUUUACUUUGAAAAAAUUAGAGUGCUCAAAGCAGGCUUUUCAGGCUGAAUAUUCGUGCAUGGAAUAAUGGAAUAGGAACUCGUUCCUAUUUUGUUGGUUUUCGGGACUCGACAUAAUGAUAAAUAGGGACAGUCGGGGGCAUUUGUAUUCAAACGACAGAGGUGAAAUUCUUGGACCGUUUGAAGACAAACUACUGCGAAAGCAUUUGCCAAGAAUGUUUUCA